UACGAAGGGGGCUAGCGUUGCUCGGAAUUACUGGGCGUAAAGCGCGUGUAGGCGGCUCGAUAAGUCUGCUGUGAAAGUCCAGGCUCAACCCUGGGAUGCCGGUGGAUACUGUCGAGCUCGAGUCCGGAAGAGGCGAGUGGAAUUCCUGGUGUAGCGGUGAAAUGCGCAGAUAUCAGGAGGAACACCAAUGGCGAAGGCAGCUCGCUGGGGACGUGACUGACGCUGAGACGCGAAAGCGUGGGGAGCAAACAGG
rnacentral:rRNA from 1 species